CGGCCGGUCGCCGCGGGCAAC
rnacentral:miRNA from 1 species